AUUGAACGCUGGCGGCAGGCCUAACACAUGCAAGUCGAACGGUAACAGGAAGCAGCUUGCUGCUUUGCUGACGAGUGGCGGACGGGUGAGUAAUGUCUGGGAAACUGCCCGAUGGAGGGGGAUAACUACUGGAAACGGUAGCUAAUACCGCAUAACGUCGCAAGACCAAAGAGGGGGACCUUAGGGCCUCUUGCCAUCGGAUGUGCCCAGAUGGGAUUAGCUAGUAGGUGGGGUAACGGCUCACCUAGGCGACGAUCCCUAGCUGGUCUGAGAGGAUGACAGGCCACACUGGAACUGAGACACGGUCCAGACGCCUACGGGAGGCAGCAGUGGGGAAUAUUGCACAAUGGGCGCAAGCAUGAUGCAGCCAGGCCGCGUGUAUGAAGAAGGCCUUCGGGUUGUAAAGUACUUUCAGCGGGGAGGAAGGGAGUAAAGUUAAUACCUAUGCUCAUUGACGUUACCCGCAGAAGAAGCACCGGCUAACUCCGUG
rnacentral:rRNA from 1 species